UGGCUCAGGACCGAACGCUGGCGGCGUGCUUAACACAUGCAAGUCGAACGGGAUCCAUCAAGCUUGCUUGGUGGUGAGAGUGGCGAACGGGUGAGUAAUGCGUGACCGACCUGCCCCAUACACCGGAAUAGCUCCUGGAAACGGGUGGUAAUGCCGGAUGCUCCAGUUGAUCGCAUGGUCUUCUGGGAAAGCUUUCGCGGUAUGGGAUGGGGUCGCGUCCUAUCAGCUUGACGGCGGGGUAACGGCCCACCGUGGCUUCGACGGGUAGCCGGCCUGAGAGGGAGACCGGCCACAUGGGACUGAGAUCGCCCC
rnacentral:rRNA from 1 species